UACGAAGGGGGCUAGCGUUGCUCGGAAUCACUGGGCGUAAAGCGCACGUAGGCGGGUCUUUAAGUCAGGGGUGAAAUCCUGGAGCUCCAACUCCAGAACUGCCUUUGAUACUGAGGGUCUUGAGUUCGGGAGAGGUGAGUGGAACUGCGAGUGUAGAGGUGAAAUUCGUAGAUAUUCGCAAGAACACCAGUGGCGAAGGCGGCUCACUGGCCCGAUACUGACGCUGAUGCACGAAAGCGUGGGGAGCAAACAGG
rnacentral:rRNA from 1 species